CAGCCGCCGCGGGAAAACAGAGGGUGCGAGCGUUAAUCGGAUUUACUGGGCGUAAAGCGUGCGUAGGCGGCUAAUUGAGUCGGAUGUGAAAUCCCCGAGCUUAACUUGGGAAUUGCAUUCGAUACUGGUUAGCUAGAGUGUGGGAGAGGAUGGUAGAAUUCCAGGUGUAGCGGUGAAAUGCGUAGAGAUCUGGAGGAAUACCGAUGGCGAAGGCAGCCAUCUGGCCUAACACUGACGCUGAGGUACGAAAGCAUGGGGAGCAAACAGGAUUAGAUACCCCUGUAGUCCCUGUCUCUUAUAC
rnacentral:rRNA from 1 species